rnacentral:rRNA from 1 species
CCUACGGGUGGCAGCAGUGGGGAAUAUUGGACAAUGGGGGGAACCCUGAUCCAGCGACGCCGCGUGAGUGAAGAAGUAUUUCGGUAUGUAAAGCUCUAUCAGCAGGGAAGAAAGAAAUGACGGUACCUGACUAAGAAGCCCCGGCUAACUACGUGCCAGCAGCCGCGGUAAUACGUAGGGGGCAAGCGUUAUCCGGAUUUACUGGGUGUAAAGGGAGCGUAGACGGCGAUGCAAGUCUGAAGUGAAAGGCGGGGGCUCAACCCCCGGACUGCAUUGGAAACUGGAUGGCUGGAGUGCAGGAGAGGUAGGUGGAAUUCCUAGUGUAGCGGUGAAAUGCAUAGAGAUUAGGAGGAACACCAGUGGCGAAGGCGGCUUACUGGACUGUAACUGACGUUGAGGCUCGAAAGCGUGGGGAGCAAACAGGAUUAGAUACCCGUGUAGUC